GUAUUCUUUUGCCAGCGCUUAACUGCGCGGCGAAAAACCUUACACACAGUGUCUUUUUGAUACAGAACUCUUGCUUUGGUUUGGCCUAGAGAUAGGUUGGGCCAGAGGUUUAACAAAACACAAUUUAAUUAUUUUUACAGUUAGUCAAAUUUUGAAUUAAUCUUCAAAACUUUCAACAACGGAUCUCUUGGUUCU
rnacentral:misc_RNA from 1 species